GUGCUCACUUCAGCAGCACAUAUACUAAAACUGUAAAGAUACAGAGAAGAUUUCCAUGCCCCCUGCACAAGGAUGACAUGCAUAUUCAUAAAAAGGCCAAUCUGAUA